AGAGUUCGAUCCUGGCUCAGGAUGAACGCUGGCGGCGCGCCUAACACAUGCAAGUCGAACGAUUAAAGCACCUUCGGGUGUGUAUAAAGUGGCGAACGGCUGAGUAACACGUGGGCAACCUGCCCCUCUCAUUGGGAUAGCCACGGGAAACCGUGGAUAAUACCGAAUACUUCGAGACCUCCGCAUGGAAGACUCGAGAAAGCUCCGGCGGAGAGGGAUGGGCCCGCGGCCUGUUAGCUUGUUGGUGGGGUAACGGCCUACCAAGGCAAUGAUGGGUAGCUGGGUUGAGAGACCGACCAGCCAGAUUGGGACUGAGACACGGCCCAGACUCCUACGGGAGGCAGCAGUGGGGAAUCUUGCACAAUGGGCGAAAGCCUGAUGCAGCGACGCCGCGUGCGGGAUGAAGGCCUUCGGGUUGUAAACCGCUUUCAGCAGGGACGAGGCGAAAGUGACGGUACCUGCAGAAGAAGCCCCGGCUAACUACGUGCCAGCAGCCGCGGUAAUACGUAGGGGGCAAGCGUUAUCCGGAUUCAUUGGGCGUAAAGCGCUCGUAGGCGGUCUGUUAGGUCGGGAGUUAAAUCCGGGGGCUCAACCCCCGUUCGCUCCCGAUACCGGCAGACUUGAGUUUGGUAGGGGAAGGUGGAAUUCCUAGUGUAGCGGUGGAAUGCGCAGAUAUUAGGAAGAACACCAGUGGCGAAGGCGGCCUUCUGGGCCAUAACUGACGCUGAGGAGCGAAAGCUAGGGGAGCAAACAGGAUUAGAUACCCUGGUAGUCCUAGCCGUAAACGAUGGACACUAGGUGUGGGGGAAUAUUUCUUCCGUGCCGCAGCUAACGCAUUAAGUGUCCCGCCUGGGGAGUACGGCCGCAAGGCUAAAACUCAAAGGAAUUGACGGGGGCCC
rnacentral:rRNA from 1 species